rnacentral:rRNA from 1 species
UACGGAGGGUGCAAGCGUUAUCCGGAUUCACUGGGUUUAAAGGGAGCGUAGGUGGCUUUGUAAGUCAGUGGUGAAAUCUUAGAGCUCAACUCUAAAACUGCCAUUGAUACUGCUUAGCUUGAAUCACGUCGAGGUGGAUGGAAUAUUACAUGUAGCGGUGAAAUGCGUAGAUAUGUGGAAGAACACCUGUGGCGAAAGCGGUUUUCCAAUUUACACCUGACGCUGAGGCGCGAAAGCAAGGGGAUCAAACAGG